rnacentral:rRNA from 1 species
AACGAACGCUGGCGGCAUGCCUAACACAUGCAAGUCGAACGAGACCUUCGGGUCUAGUGGCGCACGGGUGCGUAACACGUGGGAAUCUGCCCUUUGCUUCGGAAUAACAGUUAGAAAUGACUGCUAAUACCGGAUGAUGUCGAAAGACCAAAGAUUUAUCGGCAAAGGAUGAGCCCGCGUAGGAUUAGGUAGUUGGUGGGGUAAAGGCCUACCAAGCCGACGAUCCUUAGCUGGUCUGAGAGGAUGAUCAGCCACACUGGGACUGAGACACGGCCCAGACUCCUACGGGAGGCAGCAGUGGGGAAUAUUGGACAAUGGGCGAAAGCCUGAUCCAGCAAUGCCGCGUGAGUGAUGAAGGCCUUAGGGUUGUAAAGCUCUUUUACCAGGGAUGAUAAUGACAGUACCGGGAGAAUAAGCUCCGGCUAACUCCGUGCCAGCCGCCGCCGUAAGAC